rnacentral:rRNA from 1 species
UACGUAGGGUGCAAGCGUUAAUCGGAAUUACUGGGCGUAAAGCGUGCGCAGGCGGUGAUGUAAGACAGUUGUGAAAUCCCCGGGCUCAACCUGGGAACUGCAUCUGUGACUGCAUCGCUGGAGUACGGUAGAGGGGGAUGGAAUUCCGCGUGUAGCAGUGAAAUGCGUAGAUAUGCGGAGGAACACCGAUGGCGAAGGCA